rnacentral:lncRNA from 1 species
AUGUUUCCCUGGAUGUUGCUGGCUGUGCUUUGUGCUCUUCCAAAUAAUUGGCUACUCUCUGGUUUGUGGUUGGGGUUUGAUUUUUCUGCUUGUUUGUUUCUUCCAUCAUGGCCUUUUUGCCAUGGGGACUGGGAAGAGAGGCCUGCUCCCCUCGGUUUGUGUUUGCUUUGUAACUUCCGCUGGGAACUGUCCCCUUGCUUGUGUCUCCUUUCCAGUUAG